CUUUAACCAUAGGGUACUAAAGUGAGAAAGUGCAAAACCACAUAGGUGAUAUUUAAAGUUUACCCAUAAUAAUAUAAUAGCAAACUCUAUAAAUAUAUAUUAUUCGUAAUUUUAUAUUCUUUUAAAAAUAUAGAAACUCAACAUACUUGUAAUUUUAAAAUUACGUAUCGUUAAUAAUACUGUACGGAUCUUAAAGCAAUACGACGGUUAAAAAGUCAUAGACAUAAAUACUGUUGUACUUUUAAAAUUAUUU
rnacentral:lncRNA from 1 species